GACGAACCGUGCGAACGUUAUUCGGAAUCACUGGGCUUAAAGGGCGCGUAGGCGGGCAGGCAAGUCGAAGGUGAAAUCCCACGGCUCAACCGUGGAAGUGCCCCCGAUACUGCCUGUCUGGAGGGAGAUAGGGGCGUGCGGAACUUCCGGUGGAGCGGUGAAAUGCGUAGAUAUCGGAAGGAACACCGGUGGCGAAAGCGGCGCGCUGGAUCUCUUCUGACGCUGAGGCGCGAAAGCCAGGGGAGCGGAACGGG
rnacentral:rRNA from 1 species